GCACUCAUUUGCCCAAGACGAUAACUCACAAAACGCCCUGUGGCCCGACUGUCACGACUGUAGUUCGCCAACCAAGGGCAUUUCCUGGAAAUGCAAGGGGACACGUAUCUGUGACACUAAUGGCCGUUCUGACGUGCGUUACGCCCCUGGAAGGACUUGGAAAUACUGAACUUGAGUGAGCACUGGGAGGAUGGAGACCCUCAUCCUGGGAGGAGUCACUCCUCCCGCAGCCAUCACAGCCUGACGCCCCCUCUCCCCAGAAGUGCUUCUUAGGCCCACCCAAAAGGGCAAUGGACCUCUCUGUAUGCAAGCCAGAGCAGUCUACUGUUUGUGUAUAUUUGGGUUGUUUACUUUCUUUUUAACACUUAAAUGUUAAUUGACUUCAAUCAUUUUUAAAAUUAUAAAUAGUGUCGCUAUAGACUUUUUUGUACUUAUUAAGUACUGACCUGCAUGAUCUUCGUGAAGCAGUGCUUCUGUUACCAGAAAGGGGUCCGGAUCCGACCCCAAGAGAGAGUUCUUAGAGCUCACGCAAGAAAAAAUCCAUGGGAGAGCACAGUGCAAAGCCAAAGCAAGUGUAUUAAGAAAGUAAAGAAACAAUGGGUACUCCAUUGUUAGAGCAGCAGCUUGGGCUGCUGGACUAGGGAUACUUGUAUUUAUUGCUUGAUGAUGUGCUAAACAAGGGUGGAUUAUUCAUGAGUUUUCCAGGAAAGAGGUGGGCAAUUUCAAUUUCUCGGAGCUGAGGGCUUCCCAGCUUUUUGAACCAUACAGGGUAACUUCUGAACCUUACCAUGGCAUUUGUAAAUUGCCAUGGCACUGAUGAGCGUUUCUCUUAGCGUGCUAAUGCAUAUAAUUAGCAUAUAACCGAGAGGUGAAGCCAGCUGGGCUUCUGGAUCAGGUGGGGCCUUGGAGAACUUUUCUGUAUAGCUGAAGGAUUGUAAAUACACCAAUCAGUGCUCUGUGUCUAGCUAAAGGUUUGUAAAUGCACCAGUCAGCACUCUGUAAAAACGGACCAAACAGCACUCUGUAAAAUAGACCAAUCAGCGCUCUGUAAAAUGGACAAAUCAGCAGGAUGUGGGCGGGGCCAAAUAAGGGAAUAAAAACGGGCCACCCGAACAACCAGCGGCAACCGCGCUGGGGUCUACUUCCCAGGUGUGGGAUGUUUGUUCUUUUGCUCUUUGGGUCUGCACUACCUUUAUGAGCUGCAACACUCACCCUGAAGGUCUGCAGCUUCACUCUUGAAGCCAGCGAGACCACAAACCCACUGGGAGGAACGAACAACUCCAGACACGCCGUCUUUAGGAGCUGUAACACUCACUGUGAAGGUCUGCAGCUUCACUCCUGAAGCCAGCGAAAUCAUGAACCCACCGGGAGGAACAAACAACUCCAGCACGACUCCAGACGCACCGCCUUUAUGAGCUGUAACACACACCGCGAGGGUCUGCAGCUUCACUCCUGAAGCCAGCCAGACCAGGAACCCACCAGAAGGAACCAAUUCCGGACACAUAACAAGCAGCAGUGAGGACACCAAAGGUGACAUUUAGUGAUGUGGCUAUAGACUUCUCUCAUGAAGAGUGGGCAUGCCUAGAUUCUGCUCAGAGGGACUUAUACAAGGAUGUGAUGGUCCAGAAUUAUGAGAACCUUGUCUCUGUAGGUCUUUCCAUAACUAAGCCAUAUGUGAUCACAUUGUUGGAGCAUGGGAAAGAGCCCUGGAUGGUGGAGAAAAAACUGUCAAAAGGUAUGAUUCCAGGUUGGGAAUCAAGAUGGGAAAACAAGGAAUUAUCAACAAAGAAGGAUAUUUAUAAGGAAGAUUCACUCCAAACAGUAACAAUAGAAAAAGUUUUAAAACAAAGUUAUGAAUUUUCAAAUUCUACCAAGAAUUUGGAACACAUAGAAAAGUUGGAAGGGAAGCCUGGAAUUCAUGUAGAACAUUUCAGACCAGCAACUCUCACCUCUAGAGAAAGCCCCACUGGGGACAGUUACAAAUAUGACACAUUUAGAAUCACCUUUCAUUCAAAGUCUACUCUUUCUGAACCAUAAAAAAAUUCUGCUAAAGGGAAUUCACACAAAUACAAUAUAUUAAAGAAGAAUUUACCAAAAAAGUCAGUUGUAAAAAAUGAGAGACUCAAUGGUGGAAAGAAACUCUUGAAUUCUAAUAAAAGUGGAGCAGCCGUUAACCAGAGCACCUCUCCUCACCACACUUAUAAUAGAGAAAGUCUAUACAUCUAGGGAAUGUGGGAAAGCCUUUGGCAAACAGUCAAUCCUCAAUCGCCACUGGAGAAUUCAUACAGGAGAGAAGCCCUGUGAAUGUCGUGAAUGUGGGAAGACUUUUAGCCACGGCUCAUCCCUUACACGACAUCAGAUAAGCCAUAGUGGAGAGAAACCUUACAAAUGUAUUGAAUGUGGGAAGGCCUUUAGCCAUGGCUCAUCACUUACUAACCAUCAGAGCACUCACACUGGAGAGAAACCAUAUGAAUGUAUGAACUGUGGAAAGUCUUUUAGGCGUGUGUCCCAUCUUAUUGAACAUCUAAGAAUUCAUACGCAAGAAAAACUCUAUGAGUGUCGUAUAUGUGGAAAGGCCUUCAUUCAUACGUCGUCUCUCAUUCACCAUCAGAAAAUCCAUACUGGAGAGAAGCCUUAUGAAUGUAGAGAAUGUGAGAAAGCUUUCUGCUGUAGCUCACACCUUACUCCACAUCAAAGAAUUCACACUAUGGAGAAACAAUAUGAAUGCAACAAAUGUCUGAAAGUCUUUAGUAGCCUCUCAUUUCUUGUUCAGCAUCAGAGUAUUCAUACUGAAGAAAAACCCUUUGAAUGUCAGAAAUGCAGGAAAUCCUUCAACCAGCUUGAAUCACUGAAUAUGCAUUUGAGAAAUCACAUUAGAUUGAAAUGUGAUUUCUAUCUAAUGAAUGCCAUAUAUGUGGGAAAGCCUUUAGUCAUAGGUCAUCCCUGCUUCAACAUCACAGAAUUCAUACUGGAGAGAAACCUUACGAAUGUAUUAAAUGUGGGAAGACCUUCAGCUGUAGUUCAAACCUUACCGUACAUCAGAGAAUUCAUACUGGAGAAAAGCCAUAUAAAUGUAGUGAGUGUGGGAAAGCUUUUAGCAAAGGCUCAAAUCUUACUGCCCAUCAAAGAGUACAUAAUGGAGAGAAACCCAAUAGUGUGGUAAGUGUGGAAAAGCCUUUAGACUAUAUGAAUCACUAUACAUGUGAGAAAUCUUACAGAAGAGAAUGUAUAUGAAGCAGUGUUUAUCAUGGUAAAGUUCAUUCAUAGAUCCUCAUUUAACAUCAGAAAAAAUUAUACUGGGGAAAAGUUUUAUGAAUGUAGUGAAUAUGGGAAGACUUUCAGCAAUGAUUCAGAUGUUUUUAUUUUUCAGAGUUUAUACUGUAGAGAAAUCAUAUGAAGACCAUAAAUGUGGGAAAGCCUUUGUCAGUAUUAACCCCUUAAUUGACAUAAGUAUACUCACACUAGGAUAAAACCCUGUACAUAUAGCAAAUGUGGGAAAGACUAUAGACAAUAGGAAUCUUUUACAAACUCCUACAGGAGAGAAGCUGUAUGAAUGUAGAAAAUUUAGAAAUUGAGGGAAGACUUCAGUUCCAAGUGCAUCCCUUAUUUUACAAAGAACUCAAACUGGAGAGAACUCUCAUUUAAGAGAUGUAGCCAAGUGUUCACUAAGAGUGUUUAUCUUGCUACACAUCAGAAGAUUAAUGGAAGAACAACCUGAAAGUUUUAGGAAUUACGUGUAAAUCUUUGCAGUGAUGCUAUUUGUAAACAGGGUUCUACAGGAGAGCAAAUAAAUGUCAUUAUGCAUUUCUUAGAGCAGUAGCUUGCAGUUUCAGUUGAGUUCUACUUAGAAAUUCUUUUUAGCUAGUGGGCAUGUGAAGAUAUUUAGUCACCCAGAGGAGCCAGUAAAUGUUAUAAUGUUAAAAAUUAAAGCUGCAAAAGAAAUAAAAUGGUGUGAAUAAAGGUUUUGGUAUCUAAUAAAAUCAUUUUGUAUCUCA